UGGGGAAUAUUGGGCAAUGGGCGCAAGCCUGACCCAGCGACGCCGCGUGCGGGAUGAAGGCCUUCGGGUUGUAAACCGCUUUCAGCGGGGACGAAGCGAAAGUGACGGUACCCGCAGAAGAAGCCCCGGCUAACUACGUGCCAGCAGCCGCGGUAAGACGUAGGGGGCGAGCGUUGUCCGGAUUUAUUGGGCGUAAAGCGCACGCAGGCGGCCGUGCAAGUCGGAUGUGAAAACACGAGGCUCAACCUCGUGCCUGCAUUCGAUACUGCUCGGCUCGAGGCAGGUAGGGGAGAUCGGAAUUCCCGGUGUAGCGGUGAAAUGCGCAGAUAUCGGGAGGAACACCGGUGGCGAAGGCGGAUCUCUGGGCCUGUUCUGACGCUCAUGUGCGAAAGCUGGGGGAGCGAACAGG
rnacentral:rRNA from 1 species